AUUCUGUUAAAAGAAAUUUUCACUUUCUUUAAAUUUUUAAAAAUACAGAAUU
rnacentral:tRNA from 1 species